UUUGUUGUUGUUGUAGUUUGUCUCUUUAAAACCAAAAAAAGGAAUCGAAUAGUGCGUCUCUCUGUAGUUGCCACUAUGUUAGACAUUGAGCUACACUACAGAGACAACAGUGAAGAAAACACGAGGACCUACACAAUGCUUGAAGAUUCAUGCAAGACAGUUGGAAGAUAGAGAAGAAAUUACUCUAGAUAUUGAAGGAGAGGCAAUUGGUCCUACUGAUGAAGCU